GCCCAGAUAGCUCAGUCGGUAGAGCAGGGGACUGAAAAUCCCCGUGUCGGUGGUUCGAUUCCGGUCUUCGGCAC
rnacentral:tRNA from 1 species